rnacentral:rRNA from 1 species
UACGGAGGGUGCAAGCGUUAAUCGGAAUUACUGGGCGUAAAGCGUGCGUAGGUGGUUCGUUAAGUCCGUUGUGAAAGCCCCGAGCUCAACUUGGGAAUUGCAGUGGAUACUGGCGAGCUGGAGUGCGGUAGAGGAAGGUGGAAUUCCUGGUGUAGCGGUGAAAUGCGCAGAUGUCAGGAGGAACACCGGUGGCGAAGGCGGGGUCUCUGGGGCCGAUACUGACGCUGAGGAGCGAAAGCGUGGGGAGCGAACAGG